rnacentral:rRNA from 1 species
AGAACGAACGCUGGCGGCAGGCUUAACACAUGCAAGUCGAACGCAUCCUUCGGGGUGAGUGGCAGACGGGUGAGUAACGCGUGGGAACAUGCCCUUCAGUUCGGAAUAACCCAGGGAAACUUGGGCUAAUACCGGAUACGUGCGAGAGCAGAAAGAUUUAUCGCUGAAGGAGUGGCCCGCGUCUGAUUAGCUAGUUGGUGAGGUAAAGGCUCACCAAGGCGACGAUCAGUAGCUGGUCUGAGAGGAUGAUCAGCCACACUGGGACUGAGACACGGCCCAGACUCCUACGGGAGGCAGCAGUGGGGAAUCUUGCGCAAUGGGCGAAAGCCUGACGCAGCGACGCCGCGUGGGGGAAGAAGGCCUUAGGGUUGUAAACCUCUUUCAGGUGGGACGAAGCCACUCGGGUUAAUAGCCCAGAGGGUGACGGUACCGCCAGAAGAAGCCCCGGCUAACUACGUGCCAGCAGCCGC